rnacentral:misc_RNA from 1 species
GAAAUGCGAUAAGUAAUGUGAAUUGCAGAAUUCAGUGAAUCAUCGAAUCUUUGAACGCACCUUGCGCUCCUUGGUAUUCCUUGGAGCAUGCCUGUUUGAGUAUCAUGAAAUCUUCAAAGUAAAUCUUUUGUUAACUCAAUUGGUUUCUACUUUGGUAUUGGAGGUCUUUGCAGCUUCACACCUGCUCCUCUUUGUUCAUUAGCUGGAUCUCAGUGUUAUGCUUGGUUCCACUCGGCGUGAUAAGUUAUCUAUCGCUGAGGACACUGUAAAAGGUGGCCAAGAUAAAUGCAGAUGAACCGCUUCUAAUAGUCCAUUGACUUGGACAAUACUUUUAUGAUCUGAUCUCAAAUCAGGUAGGACUACCCGCUAAACUUAAGC